rnacentral:rRNA from 1 species
UACAGAGGGUGCAAACGUUGCUCGGAAUCAUUGGGCGUAAAGCGCACGUAGGCGGCCUAGCAGGUCGGAUGUGAAAUCCCUCGGCUCAACCAAGGAAGUGCAUUCGAAACCGCAAGGCUGGAGUCCCGGAGAGGAUGGUGGAAUUCUCGGUGUAGAGGUGAAAUUCGUAGAUAUUCGGAAGAACACCAGUGGCGAAGGCGGCUCACUGGACUGGUAUUGACGCUGAGGUGCGAAAGCAUGGGGAGCGAACAGG